rnacentral:tmRNA from 1 species
GGGGACGAAAGGAUUCGACAGGAAGCCAGGUAGCCGGAUAGCAGGCCGAGGUUGGCUGUCACCCUCGUUAAUCAGGCGGCCAAAAAUAAACGGCAACACUCGCCAACUCGCUCUCGCCGCUUAGUGCGGAGCCGUCCUCCCCGGGGCCCGGCCUGGUAGCGCCGGGGUAGGGCGUCACCAAAGCCAGGCUGCCGCGGGCUGACGCCGAUACCGCCCGCGAAAGACGCAUCGGCUGGCCGGAGAACGUGGGGACCACCACUGCAGUUCCCCGGCGAGACCCUUAUCGGUGGGAAAGCCUGUAGGAUAAUCCGGAGCCGACCUUCUCUGGACCGGGAGUUCAACUCUCCC